rnacentral:rRNA from 1 species
AUUGAACGCUGGCGGCAGGCCUAACACAUGCAAGUCGAACGGAGUGGCGGACGGGUGAGUCAUGUAUCGGAACGUGCCCAGUAGCGGGGGAUCCCUACGCGAAAGCGUAGCUAAUACCGCAUACUAUUGGAGCGGCCGAUAUCGGAUUAUCUAGUUGGUGGGGUAACGGCUCACCAAGGCGACGAUCCGUAGCUGGUGUGAGAGGACGACCAGCCACACUGGGACUGAGACACGGCCCAGACUCCUACGGGAGGCAGCAGUGGGGAAUUUUGGACAAUGGGCGAAAGCCUGAUGCAGCCAUCCCGCGUGUGCGAUGAAGGCCUUCGGGUUGUAAAGCACUUUUGGCAGGAAGGCGGUACCCGCAGAAUAAGCACCGGCUAACUACGUGCCAGCAGCCGCGGUAAUAC